GCCAUUGGUAUGGAGAUGCUGGAGAUGCAUAAUGACUUUUAACUGAGAGAUGUGACCCGAAAGUUCCAUUCGCCCUUCGUUGUGUUAUUACUUCAGGAUGUGGAAGGAACGUAAAAGUUGAGUGGCAGAAAGGACAGCAAGAGAUAAGAAGAGUAAAUAUUUUCAGUACUUUUUGAUAUUUAACAAAGAACGUCUUUGGCUGUAAUGUCAAUAAGAGUGAAGUGAUAAUUGAGCUUAGCAAUGAAUUUUUCUUCCAGAGAAAGGAAAAGGUAGGCAUAAAUGAUAUCAUUGGUCAACUCAAUACAGAAUACAGGACACCCUACAUACAUACUGACUGAAGCUAAUGCUAGAUAUUCUUUCAGUUGAAAUGCCUUUACAACUGGUUGUGCAAAAAAAGAAAUUACUGGCUGAAGUAACUGAAGAGUCCCGGG
rnacentral:lncRNA from 1 species